GCUGUUUCUGCCUGAGCAACAGCAUCUGAAAGGUACUGGACUGACUUGGCUUCCUACCUAGCUGGGUAAGCCUUGGAGGAUAUUAAUCUCCUGGAAUUUUCUAAUAGGAAGUGGAAGAAACUUUUUGAAGCUGAUGCAGAACUCCAUCUUAUUGUAUAAAAGAAACUGAACAGCAUAUUAAGAAACGAAAAGUGUUUGUUGGCUACAGAGGUUGCUGAAAGUUGUCCUAUCCAGGAGUCCUAUCAAUGGUAUUGACUUUCUCUUAUAAGGACAUAAUACUCAACUAUCACCUCCCAGGAGCAGGAAAAGCAUUGGCAAAAUUUAGGGGCUUGGUAACCACACCACAGAUUCUCCUUCCUUGGUAGACUGCUGCAAAUGAAAAACACUGGCCAAGUACUGCCAUUCCACAGGGACCUUAAGUUAAAGCCCACAGCACUUAUAUUCCUGAAACUGUCAAGAAGGAUGGUGUAACUAUAACACUGGCAGAAUGAUAUAAAGAGUUGAUCAUGCUGAAAUAUGCACCCAUGCCUCCUAACAUAGUUUGUUUGUCUGUUUGUUUUAAAUAAAGUAUGCUGUCUGUGUUUCUGAAAUAGAA